AAAGUGCGACAAGUGUCACGACUUGCAGAUACCCGAGAGCUGACAAAUUUCUGAAUGCAAAUUGCAGCCAACUUAACCUGGCUAUGGAUUGCAGAGAGUCCUGUACUUAUGUACACCAUCCUUGGACGCUUCCACCGUGAUUGCCAUCCACAGGGACAUGCGAUUGCGCGAACUCCUAUUUUAUAUCUCUUAGUGAGACCUAAACACUCUCUCUAUGCUGUUAUAUACCCCGCGAUCGUGAAAGGAAGGAAACCCUCUGUGGUUUACCUUGGAAACUAUAUAUAUAAUAGAAGACCAAACAUCAUUACCUUACACCUCUGCAAUGCAGGAGAACCCGCUGAACUUAA
rnacentral:misc_RNA from 1 species